CGACAGGAGAGCUAAAUGCCACGUCUCUCACUGACAUCCCUGAGAUCAGAUGCAAGAGACCCAGCAAGUCAUAGGAGUCGCAGUCAGAAAGCCUUCUGCAUUUCGAUCCUGUUUCAGCAUGUUACAGCGAAAAAGCCUGGUGGAAGAUGAAGCACAGUGAUUGUUUGUUCAGGCAUGAGACGACACAGAACUGCGUAAGCAGGGGGAUUGUUAUUGAUCCCGAUGAAGCAAGGCCUGACCUGUACACAUCUUGAGAGUGGCCUCAGCUGUACCAUCUCAGAGGGAUAGACGUCUUUGUCAGGACUGCCAAUACACAUCCGCUACAGGAGCAAAGGUGAAUCAAAAUGUCCAAUCAUCUUUCCUGAAGACCACAUUUGGCUUACUUUUACAUUUUUUGGAAAGCAGAUUAAGCCUUUUCCUUUAAAUCUUCAUUGUGUGAGAAAUGAACCAACUGCAAUUGUUACAGUUUAUAAUUUCACUGUUUUGCAUAUGACAAAGAAAAAUCAGAAA